UGGGGAAUUUUGCACAAUGGGGGGAACCUUGAUGCAGCGACGCCGCGUGAGGGAUGGAGGCCUUCGGGUUGUGAACCUCUUUCGCUCGUGUGCAAGCCGCUAUUUGGGUAGUGGUGAGUGUAGCGGGUAAAGAAGCGCCGGCUAACUACGUGCCAGCAGCCGCGGUAAUACGUAGGGCGCGAGCGUUGUCCGGAUUUAUUGGGCGUAAAGGGCUUGUAGGCGGUUUGUCGCGCCUGUCGUGUAAUCCUCUGGCUUAACUGGGGGUGUGCGGUGGGUACGGGCAAGCUUGAGUGCGGUAGGGGAGAGUGGAAUUCCUGGUGUAGCGGUGGAAUGCGCAGAUAUCAGGAGGAACACCGGUGUCGAAGGGGGGUCUCUGGGCCGUUACUGACGCUGAGGAGCGAAAGCGUGGGGAGCGAACAGG
rnacentral:rRNA from 1 species